rnacentral:rRNA from 1 species
CCUACGGUAGGCAGCAGUGGGGAAUAUUGCGCAAUGGGCGAAAGCCUGACGCAGCGACGCCGCGUGAGGGAUGAAGGUCUUCGGAUCGUAAACCUCUGUCAGCAGGGAAGAACGGUCACUGUGCUAAUCAGCAGUGAAUUGACGGUACCUGCAAAGGAAGCACCGGCUAACUCCGUGCCAGCCGCCUCGGUGAUACGGAGGGUGCGAGCGUUAAUCGGAAUUACUGGGCGUAAAGCGCUCGUAGGCGGUAUGUCAAGGCAAGGGUGAAAUCCCCGCGCUCAACGUGGGAACUGCCUUUGAAACUGGCAAACUGGAGUGUGUGAGAGGAUAGUGGAAUUCCGGGGGUAGGAGUGAAAUCCGUAGAUAUCUGGAGGAACAUCAGUGGCGAAGGGGACUAUCUGGCACAUAACUGACGCUGAGGAGCGAAAGCGUGGGUAGCAAACAGGAUUAGAUACCCUUGUAGUC